rnacentral:rRNA from 1 species
GACAUAGGUUGCAAACGUUAUCCGGAAUUAUUGGGCGUAAAGGAUGCGUAGAUGGUUUGAUAAGUUAUCAGUGGUAAAUCGGGGCUCAACCUCGUGGAAGCUGAUAAUACUGUCAUACUUGAGUGCAGGAGAGGUUAACGGAACUCCAUGUGGAGCGGUAAAAUGCGUUGAUAUAUGGAAGAACACCGAUAAGGCGAAGGCAGUUAACUAUUCUGCUACUGACAUUGAGGCAUGAAAGCGUGGGGAGCAAAACGG